rnacentral:rRNA from 1 species
UAUGUGAUCGUCUCUCGCAUAUCAAUAAGCGGAGGAAAAGAAACUAACAAGGAUUCCCCUAGUAACGGCGAGUGAAGCGGGAAGAGCUCAAAUUUGAAAUCUUAAAGGGUUUCCCUUUACGAAUUGUAGUUUAAAGAAGUGUUUUCUGUUGAGGUUUUGGUAAAAGUUCUUUGGAAGUAGGACAUCAUAGAGGGUGAGAAUCCCGUAUUUGACCUUUACUUUCAACUUUGUGAUACACUUUCAAAGAGUCGGAUUGUUUGGGGAUGCAGUCCAAGAUGGGUGGUAAAUUUCAUCUAAAGCUAAAUAUUGGCGAGAGACCGAUAGCGAACAAGUACCGUGAGGGAAAGAUGAAAAGAACUUUGAAAAGAGAGUUAAACAGUACGUGAAGUUGUCAAAAGGGAAGCGUUUGACACCAGUGUUGUUUUUCUGAAAAUCAAUUAAAGAACUGUUUAUGCUAAGCUGUUUAGACUUUAUCAGCUAUCUGUUUAGUUUUGAGCUUUUCUUUAAUGCACUUUUCAGUUAACAAGUCAACAUCAAUUUCUUUUGCUGUAAAAAAGCUUGAGGAAGGUGGCUUGAGAUUCGUCUUAAGUGUUUAUAGCCUCUUGCCUAUGCAGUCGGAGAGAUUGAGGUCUGCAGCGUAGAUCCUUCGGGGCUAAAUGCAUUUGUGCUAAGUUAUAGCAUUUUAUAGACAACUUGUUGACUAUGAUUUGUCUUGUAGCUUACUCGCUUAUGUUAUUUUACCUACGCUUAGGAUGUUGAUCUACAGAGCGAGAGU